UACGGAGGGUGCGAGCGUUGUCCGGAAUCACUGGGCGUAAAGGGCGCGUAGGCGGCCUGAUAAGUCGGGGGUGAAAUCCUGCGGCUUAACCGCAGGGCUGCCUUCUAAACUGUCAGGCUAGAGCACAGUAGAGGCAGGUGGAAUUCCCGGUGUAGCGGUGGAAUGCGUAGAGAUCGGGAAGAACAUCAGUGGCGAAGGCGGCCUGCUGGGCUGCUGCUGACGCUGAGGCGCGACAGCGUGGGGAGCAAACAGG
rnacentral:rRNA from 1 species